GACGAACGCUGGCGGCGUGCCUAAUACAUGCAAGUAGAACGCUGAAGAGAGGAGCUUGCUCUUCUUGGAUGAGUUGCGAACGGGUGAGUAACGCGUAGGUAACCUGCCUUGUAGCGGGGGAUAACUAUUGGAACCGAUAGCUAAUCCCGCAUACCAAUGGAUGACACAUGUCAUUUAUUUGAAAGGGGCAAUUGCUCCACUACAAGAUGGCCCUGCGUUGUAUUAGCUAGUAGGUGAGGUAAUGGCUCACCUAGGCGACGAUACAUAGCCGACCUGAGAGGGUGAUCGGCCACACUGGGACUGAGACACGGCCCAGACUCCUACGGGAGGCAGCAGUAGGGAAUCUUCGGCAAUGGGGGCAACCCUGACCGAGCAACGCCGCGUGAGUGAAGAAGGUUUUCGGAUCGUAAAGCUCUGUUGUAAGUCAAGAACGGGUGUGAGAGUGGAAAGUUCACACUGUGACGGUAGCUUACCAGAAAGGGACGGCUAACUACGUG
rnacentral:rRNA from 1 species